CCAAAACUUAGCUGCUCCAGUUCAGGCUGGUUGCACGCUUCAACCCUUUGUGAACCAAAAACCUUUACGCUUCGGCAGCUGGUUCCAGCUGUAAGCCUGCCGAUGGCACCCAUUUAAACCUGCCGUUAAAUAUUUGUCUGAACUAAAUAUUUUCGAAUGAAAAUUA
rnacentral:misc_RNA from 1 species